rnacentral:rRNA from 1 species
GAUGAACGCUGGCGGCGUGCCUAAUACAUGCAAGUCGAGCGAACAGACGAGGAGCUUGCUCCUCUGACGUUAGCGGCGGACGGGCGAGUAACACGUGGAUAACCUACCUAUAAGACUGGGAUAACUUCGGGAAACCGGAGCUAAUACCGGAUAAUAUAUUGAACCGCAUGGUUCAAUAGUGAAAGACGGUUUUGCUGUCACUUAUAGAUGGAUCCGCGCCGCAUUAGCUAGGUGGUAAGGUAACGGCUUACCAAGGCAACGAUGCGUAGCCGACCUGAGAGGGUUAUCCGCCACACUGGAACUGAGACACGGUCCAGACUCCUACGGGAGGCAGCAGUAGGGAAUCUUCCGCAAUGGGCGAAAGCCUGACGGAGCAACGCCGCGUGAGUGAUGAAGGUCUUCGGAUCGUAAAACUCUGUUAUUAGGGAAGAACAAAUGUGUAAGUAACUAUGCACGUCUUGACGGUACCUAAUCAGAAAGCCACGGCUAACUACGUG